rnacentral:rRNA from 1 species
AACGAACGCUGGCGGCAGGCCUAACACAUGCAAGUCGGGCGCGUGUAGCAAUACACGAGCGGCGCACGGGUGAGUAGCGCGUGGGAAUCUGCCCUGUGGUGGGGGACAACCUCGGGAAACUGAGGCUAAUACCGCAUACGUCCUUCGGGAGAAAGACUUCGGUCGCCAUAGGAGGAGCCCGCGUCCGAUUAGCUAGUUGGUGAGGUAACGGCUCACCAAGGCGACGAUCGGUAGCUGGUCUGAGAGGACGGCCAGCCACACUGGGACUGAGACACGGCCCAGACUCCUACGGGAGGCAGCAGUGGGGAGUAUUGGACAAUGGGGGCAACCCUGAUCCAGCCAUGCCGCGUGAGUGAUGAAGGCCUUCGGGUUGUAAAGCUCUUUUGGCGGGGAAGAUGAUGACGGUACCCGCAGAAUAAGCCCCGGCUAACUUCGUGCCAGCAGCCGCGGUAACAC